rnacentral:siRNA from 1 species
GCAAAUGCCACUGUCACGCGUUUA